UGACAGGGAAUGUGCCACUUGAAGGAGAGGACUGAAAAUCCUCGUGUCGGCGGUUCAAGUCCGCCUCCUGGCAU
rnacentral:tRNA from 1 species